UAGCUCAGUGGGUUGAGCUUGGUACUGAUAACACUGAGAUCAUGGGUUCGAUUCCCGU
rnacentral:tRNA from 1 species